ACAAACCAAAAGUUGAAUCCACCUCAAUAGCGCACAGUAUUAAAAAGAAAAGGAACCUCAAUAGUAAAAACAAAGUUAAAACCAAUCAUAUAAUCAACUAUCACAAAAAAGCAUCACAUGGAAAUAUCUUUUAAGUAAUUCUUACUACAAAAGGUUUGAAGAAGCAUUUCCAGGUAACACAUGGCAUUGAUCUGGAUUAAACCGUUUAGGGAAUAAAUAAAUCAAACUCUUCUUUUUCAGAAAUUUUUAACAAGAAAAACACAAACCAGGAAACUCCGCACUAAUAUAAUAGAUGGAAGAUAUGCGAAACGCAUUAAGUUAUAAACAAAAAAAUCAUGUGCAUCUUCAUACUUAGCAAAUGAGAAGACUAAAAAAUGAAGCUUUAUCAGUGUUCAUGAUACAGUCUUCAAAAGAGAGGAUUAAUAAGCAGCUCCUGAUAACAACCCUAUUAUAAGUAAUUUGGCUACAUCUAAUAAGAUAACUGUAUUGAACAAUAAAAGAAUUCGUAGCAACACAUAAUUUUAUAGCAUUGGUACAUGAAUAGCAUGGAAAGUUUAGCAAUCUCCAAAUUAACUUUCCAAAAUCAGACUGACAAGCAAAAGAGCUCUUCUUUUAAAAGAGGAGGACAAUUUUCUAGCCAAUCUAGAGCUACUGUCUAGAAGAAAGUGAACAUUUUACCUUAAAAAACUUAAUUCCCUGUUUAAUAUGAUGAUCUACUGGUGUUAUAGUUAGAAUACAGCUGGCUUUUCCCACACUAGAUGAAAUGAUAAAACAG